CCUGAGAGAGCCUGUGCCCCUUGCAUCCAAAAUGCUGGUCUAGCAAACAGAUCCUUUCUCUUUGGAUCUGUGGGAUCCAAAGAGAAUCGCAACCCAGUGGGAGACCCAGUAAGCAUGAAGGAAAGAGAAGCAGACCCGGUGAGAGACUGAGGAACGAGCUAGGGCUGCUGCUGCUCUGGAGAGCACUGAGGAGCCACCAGGCCAGUAGGGCUGCAGUUUAGACCCUGACAUCAAAAGGCUGUGCCACCUGAGAAGUCCUGUGCUCCCUCACUGUCCCCGCAGUACCUCAGUGGCUCUGUUCCUUGCAGGCUGAACAACCCAAACUUGCCCCUGGACUCCUGCAAAAAUCCUUGGUCCAGAAGGGAGAAGCCCCAGCUAUGGCAUUAACUGCAGGGUGAUCUGAAUAAGUCACUCAGUCUCUCCCAAGCUCAAUUUUCCCAUCUGGAAACUGGGGAGAUCAAUCCCAGUUUCUCCAUAUCCUCCCACAAGACAUGAUGUGGGCAGGAGGUGGGGGCUGUGAGAAUAGAGUGAGAUCACAAAUUGGAAAACACAUGGAGACUCAGCAUCCAAUUACAAGUGAUUCAUCAUUUAUGCCUUAUGUGCACGAAAACACCAAAUGGCAAAUCCUCACCUUUGCCCUCCCUCAGGCCAUUCAGUCAAUCGGUACAGCUAGAGCUUCCAGUACAAUGUUGAAUAUAAGUGGUGACAGCAGACUUUCUUGUCUUGUUUUUGAUCCUAUGGGAAAGUUUUCAGUCCUUCACCAUUAAGUACAAUGUUAGCUGUGAGUUUUUGUAGAUUCCCUUUAUUAGGUGAGGAAGUUUCCUUCUAUUUCUAGUGUUUUAAAAAAUUAUGAAAGGGGCCAAGCAUGGUAGCUCACACCUGUAAUCCCACUACUUUGGGAGGCCAAGGUAGACAGAUCACUUGAGAUCAAGAGUUUAAGACCAGCCUGACCAACCUGGCAAAACCCCAUCUCUACUAAAAAUACAAAAAUUAGCUGGGUGUGGUGGUGCAUGCCUGUAAUUGCAACUACUCAGGGGGCUAGGCAGGAGACUUGCUUGAAUCGAGGAGGAGGAGUUUGCAUUGAGUCAAGAUCUUGCCACUACACUCCAGCCUGGGUGACAGAACAAGACUCUUUCUCAAAAAUAAAAUAAAAUAAAAUAAUAAAAGGGAAGUAGAUUUUGUCAAAUGCUCUUUCUGACUCUAUUAACCUCAAUUUUUUUUUUGAGAGUCUCACUCUAUUGCACAGGUUGGGGUACAGUAGCAUGAUCUCGGCUUACUGCAACUUCUGCUUCCUGGGUUCAAGUGGUUUUCAUGCCUCAUCCUCCCAGGCAGCUGAGACUACAGGCAUGCAGCCCCAUGCCCAGCUAAUUUUUUGUUGUUGUUUCUUUGAGAUGGAAUCUCACUCUGUUGCCCAGGCUGGAGUGCAAGUGGUGUAAUCUCAGCUCACUGCAAUCUCCACCUCCUGGGAUGAAGCCAUUCCCCUGCCUCAGCCUCCCAGGUAGCUGGGACUACAGGCAUGUGCUACCAUGCCUGGCUAAUUUUUGUAUAUUUAGUAGAGAUGAGGUUUCACCAUUUUGGCCAGGCUGGUCUUGAACUCCUGACUUCAGGUUAUCCACCUAUCUCAGCCUCCCAAAGUGCUGGGAUUACAGGUAUGAGCCACUGUACCCGGCCAAAUUUUUGUAUUUUUAGUAGAGACAGGGUUUCACCAUGUUGGCCAGGCUAGUCUCAAACUCCCAGCCUCAAGUGAUCUGCCCAUCUGGCCUCUCAAAGUGUUGGGAUUACAGGUGUGAGCCACUACACCCAACUCUUUCUGACUCUAUUGAGAUGGUUAUGUGUUUUUUGUUCUUUAUUCUAUUGAUAAGGUCUAUUACAUUAAUUGAUUUUUCAGAUAUUAAACCAACCUUAAAUUCCUAGGAUAAAUUCCUUUUAUAGUACAAAAUCCUUUUUACAUGUCACUGGAUUCAGCUUGGUGAUUUUUUUUUUUUUAAGAAUCUCUGAAUCCAUAUUCAUUAGCAAUAUUACUCUGUAGUUUUCUUAUGAUGUCUUUGUCUGGUUUUGAUGUCAGAGUAAUAUUGACCUCAUAGAAUAAGUUGGGAAAUGUUCUCUUCUAAUUUUUGGAAGAGUUUGGGAGGAACUGGUAUUAAAUCUUUAAGUGUUUGGUAGAAUUUAUAUUUUAUAUUGCUAAGCUGUACUUGAUUAUAUGAAUAUACCACAAUUUAUCUAUCCAUUCACCUGUUGAUAAGAUAUUUGGGUUCUUUCCAGUUUUAGAAUAAACCUGCUAUAAACAUUAGUGUAAUCUUUGUAUGGAUGUAUGUUUUCAUAUUCUUGGGUAAAUAUUUACAGUGGAAUUGCUGGAUCAUUUGGUAGAUGCAUGGUAACUUUAUGAGAAAGUUCCAGACCAAUUUUCAAAGUGGUUGCAUCACUUCCACCAACAAUAUAUGAGACUUUUGCUUACUCUCUGCAGCCUUACCACUUAAGCUGUUGCCACCCUUUGAUUUUAGCCAUUCUAAUGGGCAUGUAGUGAUAUCACAAUGUCAUUUUCAUUUACAUUUUGUUGAAUAACACUAAAACACUUUCAUGUGCUUAUUGGCCCUUGGCAUAUCUUCCUUUGAUGCCUGUUCUUAUUUUUUGCCCAUUUUUUAAAAAUUAGAUUUUUUUUUUUUUUUGAGAUGGAGUUUCACUCUUGUUGCCCAGGCUGGAGUGCAACGGUGUAAUCUUGGCUCACUGCAACCUCUGUCUCCUGGGUUCAAGUGAUUCUCCUGCCUUAGCCUCCCGGGUAGCUGGGAUUACAGGCAUGCGCCACCACACCUGGCUAAUUUUUGUAUUUUUAGUAGAGGCAGGGUUUCUCCAUGCUGGUCAGGCUGGUCUCGAACUCCUGACCUCAGGUGAUCCACCCACCCUUGGCCUCCCAAAGUGUUGAUUUACAGGCGUGAGCCACUGUACCCAAGUCCCUAAAUAGAUUUUAAUUGGGUCUUCUUAAUAUUGAGCUGCAGAGGUUUUUAAUAUAUGUUGGAUAAAAGCUUUUGUCAAAUAUAUAGAUGUAGAGAGACCGAGAUAUAUGCACGGUGAUAACUUACUCACAUUCUGUGGUUUUCCUACUCAUUUCUUAAUGGUAUCUUUUUCUUAACAGAAGCUUUAGAUUUUGAUGAAUUCUAUUUUAUUGAUGUUUCUUUUAUGGUUGCUGCUUUCUGGGUCCUAAA
rnacentral:lncRNA from 1 species